UAUAUAUAUAUAUAAUUGUCCAGUAGCACCUUAGAGACCAACUAAGUUUGUUCUUGGUAUAAGCUUUCGUGUGUGUGCUUAUAUCAAGAACAAACUUAGUUGGUCUCUAAGGUGCUACUGGACAUUUAUAUAUAUAUAUAUAU